rnacentral:snoRNA from 1 species
AGUCUCGGGGUCGCACCUGGAGAGUUUCCAGUCCUCUACCAGUCUCGGCUACGGGAGGGAGAGUCAAGCAGAGGCCUGUCCAUUCCCUUCCUAGCUGGGCCAGUGGCUAGUGAGCGGAAGGCAAUCUGCUACAAGG